AUUGAACGCUGGCGGCAUGCUUUACACAUGCAAGUCGAACGGCAGCGCGGGCUUCGGCCUGGCGGCGAGUGGCGAACGGGUGAGUAAUACAUCGGAACGUGCCCAGUAGUGGGGGAUAGCUCGGCGAAAGCCGGAUUAAUACCGCAUACGACCUGAGGGUGAAAGCGGGGGAUCUUCGGACCUCGCGCUAUUGGAGCGGCCGAUGGCAGAUUAGCUAGUUGGUGGGGUAAAGGCCUACCAAGGCGACGAUCUGUAGCUGGUCUGAGAGGACGAGCAGCCACACUGGGACUGAGACACGGCCCAGACUCCUACGGGAGGCAGCAGUGGGGAAUUUUGGACAAUGGGCGAAAGCCUGAUCCAGCAAUGCCGCGUGUGUGAUGAAGGCCUUCGGGUUGUAAAGCACUUUUGGCGGGAACGAAAAGGACUGUGCCAAUACCACGGUUCGAUGACGGUACCCGCAGAAUAAGCACCGGCUAACUACGUG
rnacentral:rRNA from 1 species